CCUCAAAUCAUUCAGAUUUACGACGGUAUAAAAGGUAAGAAAAAAGAAAUUUGGAUUGAUUACUUUUUAAUGCAUAAAAUUGCUUUCGCAUGAUUGUAUGCAAAUUUGAAAGGAAUUCCAGGUGAAGUUUGUGAGCAUUGAAUUAUAUUGGAAGAGAAAGCUAUACCAGUAUGCCAAAGAUAACAUCGACUUAAUCCAA
rnacentral:lncRNA from 1 species